AGGAUGUGGUAGCCUCACACAUAAGAGGCCUUAUGUAUUAAGAAAAUAAAAAGAAAGAACUCUAGAUCUAUAUUCUCUCCAAUUUUUCAUCUCAUUCUCCAUUUCAAUCUCCUUCCAAAUCUCAUCAAGUUGCUAAACAAAGCCAACAAAAGUGGUAUCAGAGCAAGGAAGAUCAACAAGAUUUGAGUUUGAGGACAACAAGUGGGAAA
rnacentral:lncRNA from 1 species